CCCACCAUAGCUCCAGAUCCUUCCAGCGCACCACUCCCCCAGUUUAGCACAAUUUAGUAAACCUCAACUUUAUAUUUCUUGACUUUAGAACCAUGUGAAACCAGCACAGAGCUGCUUGUUGGCUGAUGCUAUGACUAUCAGAAAACCCAGGAAGUCCUCCCACCUGAGUUGUUACUGAGCCCAAGAUGGCUCUGCUUGCCACACAGCAGGCCAGUAAAUUGGGGGACAAGGACUGAGGCAGGGGAUAGCGACUUUAUUCGGAAAGACAAGACUGAGAAGAUGGCAGAUUAGUGUCCCCAGAACAAACCAUCUUUUGGAAUCUGGAUGCCACAACAGAGAGAGGGAGAAGGAAGAUUCAUCUGACCAGAGUGAGCAGCCUGCACGGAGCUGGCGAAGGCUGGAGGUGCCAGGAACAUCAGGAGAGCAGCCAGGGCCCUGCAGAGGUGGAGGAACACACGUGCCCAU